UAGGGAAUCUUCGGCAAUGGACGAAAGUCUGACCGAGCAACGCCGCGUGAGUGAAGAAGGUUUUCGGAUCGUAAAACUCUGUUGUUAGAGAAGAACGUUGCAUAGAGUGGAAAAUUAUGCAAGUGACGGUAUCUAACCAGAAAGGGACGGCUAACUACGUGCCAGCAGCCGCGGUAAUACGUAGGUCCCGAGCGUUGUCCGGAUUUAUUGGGCGUAAAGCGAGCGCAGGUGGUUUAAUAAGUCUGAUGUAAAAGGCAGUGGCUCAACCAUUGUGUGCAUUGGAAACUGUUAGACUUGAGUGCAGUAGAGGAGAGUGGAAUUCCAUGUGUAGCGGUGAAAUGCGUAGAUAUAUGGAGGAACACCGGUGGCGAAAGCGGCUCUCUGGACUGUCACUGACACUGAGGCUCGAAAGCGUGGGUAGCAAACAGGAUUAGAUACCCUGGUAGUCCAC
rnacentral:rRNA from 1 species